AUUGAACGCUGGCGGCAGGCCUAACACAUGCAAGUCGAGCGGAUGAGUGGAGCUUGCUCCAUGAUUCAGCGGCGGACGGGUGAGUAAUGCCUAGGAAUCUGCCUGGUAGUGGGGGACAACGUUUCGAAAGGAACGCUAAUACCGCAUACGUCCUACGAGAGAAAGUGGGGGAUCUUCGGACCUCACGCUAUCAGAUGAGCCUAGGUCGGAUUAGCUAGUUGGUGAGGUAAAGGCUCACUAAGGCGACGAUCCGUAACCGGUCUGAGAGGAUGAUCAGUCACACUGGAACUGAGACACGGUCCAGACUCCUACGGGAGGCAGCAGUGGGGAAUAUUGGACAAUGGGCGAAAGCCUGAUCCAGCCAUGCCGCGUGUGUGAAGAAGGUCUUCGGAUUGUAAAGCACUUUAAGUUGGGAGGAAGGGCAGUAAGUUAAUACCUUGCUGUUUUGACGUUACCAACAGAAUAAGCACCGGCUAACUUCUUGCCAGCCGCCGCGGUAAAAC
rnacentral:rRNA from 1 species